CUCUCUGCAGCGUCUAAGCCAUCCAUUGCCGCUUAGUUCACUGGAAUGUAAUUCCUGCUAUUUUUGGGUCUCGUUUUAGUUAUUGUUGGAUGUAGUACAUGGUUUUGGUAAUUUUGAGCAUUCCUGACAUUUUGAGUCUGAUAGUACUUGAAGAUUGAUGAUUUUUGUUACCUGACAAUCUUUUAUCAUUAUGUUUUUCUUGAUCUUGCUACUUUGAAAAAUUACCAUCUUUUCAGUCUCUAUUGGAAAUUACCAUCUUUUCAGUCG
rnacentral:lncRNA from 1 species